rnacentral:rRNA from 1 species
GACAGAGGUGCCGAGCGUUAGGCGGAAUCACUGGGCUUAAAGCGUGUGUAGGCGGACUUGUAAGUACCUUGUGAAAUCCCAUGGCUCAACCAUGGAACUGCUCGGUAUACUGCUUGUCUUUGAGCCACUUAGGGGCAGUCGGAACAGACGGUGGAGCGGUGAAAUGCGUAGAUAUCGUCUGGAACGCCAAAGGUGAAAACAGAACUGCUGGGAGUGUGCUGACGCUGAGACACGAAAAGCCAGGGGAGCCAAAGCGGGAUUA